AUAUGCUUGUCUCAAAGAUUAAGCCAUGCAUGUCUCAGUACAAGCCACAUUAAGGUGAAACCGCGAAAGGCUCAUUAAAUCAGUUAUGGUUCCUUAGAUCGUACCCACAUUUACUUGGAUAACUGUGGUAAUUCUAGAGCUAAUACAUGCAAACAGAGUUCCGACCGGAGACGGGAGGAAUGCUUUUAUUAGAUCAAAACCAAUCGGCGGCGGGUGCGCUCGCGCGCCCGUUCGCCGCUCAACCUGGUGACUCUGAAUAACUUUCGGCUGAUCGCACGGUCCAGCACCGGCGACGCAUCUUUCAAAUGUCUGCCUUAUCAACUGUCGAUGGUAGGUUCUGCGCCUACCAUGGUCGUAACGGGUAACGGGGAAUCAGGGUUCGAUUCCGGAGAGGGAGCCUGAGAAACGGCUACCACAUCCAAGGAAGGCAGCAGGCGCGCAAAUUACCCACUCCCGGCACGGGGAGGUAGUGACGAAAAAUAACGAUACGGGACUCAUCCGAGGCCCCGUAAUCGGAAUGAGUACACUUUAAAUCCUUUAACGAGGAUCAAUUGGAGGGCAAGUCUGGUGCCAGCAGCCGCGGUAAUUCCAGCUCCAAUAGCGUAUAUU
rnacentral:rRNA from 2 species